UACGAAGGGGGCUAGCGUUGCUCGGAAUCACUGGGCGUAAAGCGCACGUAGGCGGAUCUUUAAGUCAGGGGUGAAAUCCUGGAGCUCAACUCCAGAACUGCCUUUGAUACUGGGGAUCUCGAGUCCGGAAGAGGUGAGUGGAACUCCGAGUGUAGAGGUGAAAUUCGUAGAUAUUCGGAAGAACACCAGUGGCGAAGGCAGCUCGCUGGGACGUUACUGACGCUGAGACGCGAAAGCGUGGGGAGCAAACAGG
rnacentral:rRNA from 1 species